UGAGUAACGCGUGAGGAACCUGCCUUCCAGAGGGGGACAACAGUUGGAAACGACUGCUAAUACCGCAUGAUGCGUUGGAGCCGCAUGACUCCGACGUCAAAGAUUUAUCGCUGGAAGAUGGCCUCGCGUCUGAUUAGCCAGUUGGUGAGGUAACGGCCCACCAAGGCGACGAUCAGUAGCCGGACUGAGAGGUUGGCCGGCCACAUUGGGACUGAGAUACGGCCCAAACUCCUACGGAAGGCAGCAG
rnacentral:rRNA from 1 species